rnacentral:tRNA from 1 species
GCCUGGGUGGCUCAGUUGGUUAAGCGUCUGACUUCGGCUCAGGUCACGAUCUCACGGUUCGUGGGUUUGAGGCCCAUGUUAGGCU